GCAUAACGCGAAGAACCUUACCUAGGCUUGAAAGGCAAGUGACAGGGUAUGAAAGUACCCCUCCAGCAAUGGCACUUGUUACAGGUGGCUGCAUGGCUGUCGUCAGCUCGUGCCGUGAGGUGUUGGGUUAAGGUCCCGCAACGAGCGCACCCUACUAUUAGUUGCACCAGGUUAUGUUGAGCACUCUAAUAGGACUGCCUACGCAAGUAGUGAGGAAGGUGGGGAGUGACGUCAAGUCCGCAUGGCCCUUACGCCUAGGGCUACACACGUGCUACAAUGGGUGUUACAAUGGGUUGCUAAGCCGCAAGGUGGAGCCAAUCCUUUAAAAGCAUCCUCAGUUCGGAUUGGAGUCUGAAACUCGACUCUAUGAAGUUGGAAUUGCUAGUAAUCGUGGAUCAGCACGCCA
rnacentral:rRNA from 1 species